rnacentral:rRNA from 1 species
UACGAAGGGUGCUAGCGUUGUUCGGAAUUACUGGGCGUAAAGCGCGCGUAGGCUGUUUUGCAAGUUGGAGGUGAAAUCCCAGGGCUUAACCUUGGAACUGCCUUCAAAACUGCAAGGCUUGAGUAUGGGAGAGGUGAGUGGAAUUCCGAGUGUAGAGGUGAAAUUCGUAGAUAUUCGGAAGAACACCAGUGGCGAAGGCGGCUCACUGGACCAUAACUGACGCUGAGGCGCGAAAGCGUGGGGAGCAAACAGG